rnacentral:rRNA from 1 species
UACAGAGGUCCCAAGCGUUGUUCGGAUUCACUGGGCGUAAAGGGCGCGUAGGCGGUGCGGUAAGUCUUUUGUGAAAUCUCCGGGCUCAACUCGGAGUCUGCAGGAGAAACUGCCGUGCUUGAGUGUGGGAGAGGUGAGUGGAAUUCCCGGUGUAGCAGUGAAAUGCGUAGAUAUCGGGAGGAACACCUGUGGCGAAAGCGGCUCACUGGACCACAACUGACGCUGAGGCGCGAAAGCUAGGGGAGCAAACAGG